rnacentral:rRNA from 1 species
UACGGAGGGAGCUAGCGUUGUUCGGAAUUACUGGGCGUAAAGCGCACGUAGGCGGCUUUGUAAGUUAGAGGUGAAAGCCCGGGGCUCAACCCCGGAAUUGCCUUUAAGACUGCAUCGCUUGAAUCCAGGAGAGGUGAGUGGAAUUCCGAGUGUGGAGGUGAAAUUCGUAGAUAUUCGGAAGAACACCAGUGGCGAAGGCGGCUCACUGGACUGGUAUUGACGCUGAGGUGCGAAAGCGUGGGGAGCAAACAGG